AUGCCAGGUGUGCCGAGAGAACUCGCUGAGCACCGACUUAAUAUUGAUCCUAAGAUGAAACCUGUUCGACAGUUCCUCCGUCGUUUUAAUGAGAAGAGGCGUAAGGCUAUUGGAGAAGAAGUUGUCCGGCUCCUAGCUGCCGGGUUCAUCGUUGAAGUUUUUCACCCUCAGUGUUUGGCUAAUCCUGUGCUAGUGCUCAAGAAAAAUGGCACUUGGUGUAUGUGUGUGGAUUACACAGAUCUCAACAAAUCUUGUCCAACCGAUCCUUUUGCUCUCCCCCAUAUUGACCAGAUUGUGGAUGCCACGGCGGGUUGUGAGAGUUUGUGCUUUCUGGAUGCUUAUUCUGGUUAUCACCAGAUCAAGAUGGCAGUGGAAGAUUAG
rnacentral:rRNA from 1 species